ncrna:Eptesicus fuscus (big brown bat) microRNA efu-mir-9318a precursor
UCACCCCCAGUGUUGACAGUGUGUGUGUCCCCAUCGGGGAGGUCACGCAUCUCUGACAUGUACUGGCAUGUGCA